AUCUAAACACUGCGACGUGUUUUCAAAAUCUUUGUUCCCAAAAAACUUCAUUUCAUCAAGGUCUCUUCUCAGAAUAUCAGCCAUCUGUCUGGCACAGGAUAACAAAUCAAUAUUGAAGUAAAUUUAAGUUGUGUGGUAAUUCUUAGUACAUUUGGGUAAAUUAAUCUUAAUAUCUUUUUUCGCCGCAUUUAUAAAAGCAUCUCUAUAAUUCAACACAUCCCUGAGCCACG
rnacentral:lncRNA from 1 species